rnacentral:rRNA from 1 species
AUUGAACGCUGGCGGCAUGCCUUACACAUGCAAGUCGAACGGUAACAGGUUAAGCUGACGAGGCGAACAGGUGAGUAAUGUAUCUGAACGUGCCCAGUCGUGGGGGAUAACUGCUCGAAAGAGCAGCUAAUACCGCAUACGACCUGAGGGGGAAAGCGGGGGAUCGCAAGACCUCGCGCGAUUUGAGCGGCCGAUAUCAGAUUAGGUAGUUGGUGAGGUAAAGGCUCACCAAGCCGACGAUCUGUAGCUGGUCUGAGAGGACGACCAGCCACACUGGGACUGAGACACGGCCCAGACUCCUACGGGAGGCAGCAGUGGGGAAUUUUGGACAAUGGGCGCAAGCCUGAUCCAGCCAUGCCGCGUGCGGGAAGAAGGCCUUCGGGUUGUAAACCGCUUUUGUCAGGGAAGAAAAGGUUCUGGCUAAUACCUGGGACUCAUGACGGUACCUGAAGAAUAAGCACCGGCUAACUACGUG